GUAUGUGUGUGUGUAUGUGUGUGUGUAUGUGUGUUCUUGUUUAUAUGGUAUAGGGGGACAUUUGACCUGAAAUCUCACCAGCACUAUGAGGACAUUUUGGUUUAUGAGGACAUUUUCAAUGUCCCCAUAAGUCGGGCACUGUAGAAGAACUUCCUUCAUUGUUAUUAACUAUGUCCUGCUUUUUUAACUCAUGUCCUAAUAUACCAUAAAGACCUGGUUUUGUUGUGUAUCACACACAGCCCAUACUCCCCCUAUGUCUGGUUGUUGGUAGUGCAGCUUGAUACGAUUUUUUUUCAUUGGCUCAUGGGUUGUAUGCAUGUCUGAUCACCGAUUGGCUACUGCUUCUGUCAAUAACGGGGACGAUCGUUGAUUCGCGGUUGCGUCUUUGAGUCACCGCAUUCUGGCGGUAAACUAUCAACUUUCUAUGUCGCGAGCCUAUAGCUAGUGAAAACCCCGCCAAGAUAUGCUGAAGCUUAUUUUACCUCAGAAGACAUCACCUGAAAGUAACCACGACGCGAAGAGGACUUUUCUAAUGGUUAUCUUGACUACUAAAUAGGUAAGUAAUUUUUCUAUUCACACAAUUGAUCAAAUGUAUUAUUUAGUUUACAAUUUUAUAGCUAAAAUAUAUAAAAUGUGCAGUUUAACACAAACGUGAACAGGGUAGAGUAAUGACUGCUACAGUACUAGUAACUUGGUAAUUAUGUACUGUACUCCUGUUCUGUUGUUCAAGCAGGCUAAUGGGUUAAUACUACUGAGAUUAAACUUGCGUUGAUGUUAUUAUUGGAGUGUCUCGCAGUUUUAUAGUCAGUCCUGAGUGUUUUUGUAGUCUGGCUAAUAUGAGUUUUUUUUUUUUUUGCCUGUGCUUAAAACAUUUGUUAAUGUCGUAUUUCUGUCCGAACGUGAGUUAAUUGUUGUCGUCUGCUUGUUAGCGGUAAGUUAAGUAAUUGUUUCAAGCUAACGUUAGCGAAUGUAAUGAUGGACAUUCAAUGGGCUCUAAAGUGCCAGCAGUUUCUUCUCUCAAAAUGAUUUCGCUUUUAGUGUUGUUUAGAAACUGUAUAAAAAGCCAAUACAUGGCCUUGUGUUUGGCCGUGUUUGAGAAAUGAAGUGUUCCUCUUGUCAUGAUCUGAUAAUUUGACUGAUGUAUCCCUCAUUCACCCAAGUAGGUGAGUAAUAGUAAUAUAAUAUGAAUAUAGUGUAUUGUCAGGCGUUGUUGCUCAACUGCGGGGGUCCUGUGCGGUCUAAUAGUAAGAACAAGGGGAACGAGUGGCAAGUACACUGAUAGGUCUACCUGUUGUGGCUGAGUAGCCCCAUACUAAAGCCACAAUUGAUAUUGAGUUGGAGAACUGUCUUUCAUCACUCAUAGUUCACUAUUACAGUUGGGUUAAAAUAACCCUGUAUGUUGGGUUGUGAUGUAAACACAGCACAUUUGGUCAGAUGAUUGACUUGGUAUUUCAUAAGUGAAGAAAUAUUUAGACUUUGUAUUUCAUAAGUGAAUAAAUAUUUAGACGGUUAGUAACUGAAUGUGGCUGCAGUUGUAUUAUAUCUGUAGUUGUAUUGGCUGCAAACAUGAAUUACUUGCAUCUAAAAUAUAGGUUUAAAAUGCAGUCUUUUGGUAUAUUUAAUUGUGAACAUGACAGCAUUUAUCACUGGAAAGUGUAUAUUUGUACAGUGAUAAUGUAGGCUAAUAGAAUAGUUGGUUUAGCAAAAAGCCUAAGAAAUAUUUUUCUAUUUGUCUAGUAUUGAUGCAGCAAACACUGAAUCACUUGCCAGAUUUGUCAACGAUGACCACAUCAAUCCGAACAGCAAAAUGAAAAGGCUAACAGUUGGAGGGAAGCCCCACCUCUGUUUAUUUGCAACGACCGACAUAAAACCUGGAGAGGAAAUUUCCUAUGAUUAUGCUGACUCGGACUGGCCGUGGUGAAAUAAGCAAAUCCAUGUCCAAGAAAUGUCCGUUACUACAGAGACCGAGAACACUGAAGAGUGUCAGGAUAUUCUUGUACAUUCUGUUGCAUCCUCUUUGGACAAAUGCAAUGUCUGCAGUGGUGGCACAAUGUCAUCACUCAGGUGGUCUGGAAUGCAAUGUAAAGGUGUGUCUUUUCUUGCCCCAAUCUUCAUACUGUAUGAUAAAAACUGUCCACAACAAAAACGAUUCUUAAACAUCGAGACUGCUAGUACCAGUUGAUUUUGGAGAUGGGUUUGAUAUAAUUAUUUGUUUUUACAAUCAAGCCAAUAUUUCAAUUGGCUUCUGAUUUAUUUAAAUGGAGAAACAAAGGUAGCCGGUUUCCAGACCUCAAUGGGCACAGACUUUGUAAGAAACAAAGGACUGACAUUCAGGAGGCAAAAUGAAAAAGCGAUCAAUACACAAAUGUAAAGAUUAUCAUUCAGUACAUAAUUUGUUUAACAUUUUAUAUGGUCAAAUCAAAAAAGCAACUUUUGUGACAAUAACGCAUAGAAAACGUAUGAUUUAUAUAUCAGCAUCUCAAAAGACAAUGGGUUAUGCACUUGCUUUGGAAUCUGCUGUGUAGUGAAUUAAUGAGUGGCGAUAGACCCUAAUCUACAUUUGGUUACAGUAUAGCCUACAUUUAAAAUGUAUUAAAUUAUGAGGGGGAAAAAAUCGAACUUGCUCGCAAUACCCCAUAAUAAAAACAAAACAGGUUUAAUUAUUUUUUGCAAGUUUAUAAGAAACUGAAAUAUGACAGGGCUUGACGAUAAUUCAAUCAAUACUGUUAUAGUUUUUAAAUAAUUAUAUUAUUGGGUUAUAUCGCCCACCCCUAAUAUGAAAUGUACACUAUUAUUCACAUCCCUUAAUGAAAGAGGGGUGUGAGCCUAGGGUCUUUUUGGGUAUGACGCUACAAGCUUGGCACACCUGUGUUUGGGGAGUUUCUCCUAUUCUUCUCUGCUGAUCCUCUUAAGCUCUGUCAGGUUGGAUGCAAAACAAUGCUGCAUAGCCAUUUUCAGGUCUCCAGAGAUGUUCAAUCGGGUUCAAGUCCAGGUUCUGGCUGGGCCACUCAAGGACAUUCACUGACUUGUACCAAAGCCUCUCCUGCAUCGUCUUGGCUGUGUGCUUAGGGUCAUUGUCCUGUUGGAUUGUCAACCUUCUCCACAGUCUAAGAUUCUGUUCACUCUGGAACAGGUUUUCAUCCAGGAUCUCUCUGUACUUCUCUGUCUUUAUCUUUCCCUCAAUCCUGGCUAGUCUCCCAGUCCCUGCUGCUGAGAAACAUCCCCAUAACCUGUUGCUGCUCCAACCUUGUUUCACUGUAGGGAUGCAUUGGCCAGAUGUGUGGUGCCUGGUUUCCUGUUGUCUGCAACAUUGAAGGUCUCGAAGAACAGUGGUAUCCAUCAUUCUAAAAUGUUUCCAUUUUAGAAAAAUGUAACUCCUUUGGGCUUAAUGUCAAGCGUCAUGUCUGCAGACAACCAGGCACUGGUCAUAUGGCCAAUGCAUCCCUAUGGUGAAGCAAGGUGUUUUUCAGCAGUAGGGACAGAGUGACUAGUC